GGGGAAUAUUGCACAAUGGGCGAAGGCCUGAUGCAGCAACGCCGCGUGAGUGAUGAAGGUCUUCGGAUUGUAAAGCUCUGUCUUUUGGGACGAUAAUGACGGUACCAAAGGAGGAAGCCACGGCUAACUACGUGCCAGCAGCCGCGGUAAUACGUAGGUGGCGAGCGUUGUCCGGAUUUACUGGGCGUAAAGGGUGCGUAGGCGGAUGUUUAAGUGAGAUGUGAAAUACCCGGGCUUAACUUGGGUGCUGCAUUUCAAACUGGAUAUCUAGAGUGCAGGAGAGGAGAAUGGAAUUCCUAGUGUAGCGGUGAAAUGCGUAGAGAUUAGGAAGAACACCAGUGGCGAAGGCGAUUCUCUGGACUGUAACUGACGCUGAGGCACGAAAGCGUGGGUAGCAAACAGGAUUAGAUACCCUGGUAGUCCACGCCGUAAACGAUGAGUACUAGGUGUAGGAGGUAUCGACCCCUUCUGUGCCGCAGUAAACACAUUAAGUACUCCGCCUGGGAAGUACGAUCGCAAGAUUAAAACUCUAAAGUGAAUUGAC
rnacentral:rRNA from 1 species